CUAAUUUUCUCUCUCUCUCUCCCGUCGCCGCUAUCUUCUUCAAUUUUCCCCUUCUCCGUAUUUUCGUUUUCAGUGGCUGCAUCUCCAGCUGCAUCUACAAAUUUUCUCCUUCUUCAAUCUUUCCCUUCUCUGUAUUUUCGUUUUCAGUGGCUGCGUCUCCAAAUUUUCUUCACAAGUUCAUCAACCAUCUACAACUCUCUAUAAUCAGGAAGGACUCAAUUGCAAUUUCAGAUGAGUUUUGCGUCGUGCUACAGUGCUACUGCAAAGAUGGAGUAAUAAUGUUCAAAAGCGCAAAAAAAAGGACGAUUUGGGAUGCGUUUUAGAGUAUGAUUGGAGGUGUUUUUCACUGCAAAAUUGAGUUUUGCUGUAUCGUUGGAGAUGCCCUAAUGAGAUGAGACCUAUUUUUCACUAA